CCUACGGGAGGCAGCAGUGAGGAAUAUUGGUCAAUGGGCGAGAGCCUGAACCAGCCAAGUCGCGUGAGGGAGUACUGCCCUAUGGGUUGUAAACCUCUUUUGUCGGGGAGCAAAAGCCGGACGUGUCCGGCUGUGAGAGUACCCGAAGAAAAAGCAUCGGCUAACUCCGUGCCAGCAGCCGCGGUAAUACGGAGGAUGCGAGCGUUAGCCGGAUUUAUUGGGUUAAAGGGGUGCGCAGGCGGAGUUUGAAGUUAGCGGUAAAAUCGUGGGGCUCAACCCCAUCCAGCCGUUGAAACUGGGGAUCUAGAGUGUGCGAGAGGUAUGCGGAAUGCGUGGUGUAGCGGUGAAAUGCAUAGAUAUCACGCAGAACCCCGAUUGCGAAGGCAGCAUACCGGUGCACAACUGACGCUCAGGCACGAAAGCGUGGGUAUCGAACAGGAUUAGAUACCCUGGUAGUC
rnacentral:rRNA from 1 species